ACUCUAUGUGCUGUUUGCUGUCUACGGUCUGAUUCUGUGAGCUGCAGCUGACCACGCCCCCCUGCAGGAGAGGGGGGCGUGACACGGCCCCGGCACGAGUGUCAUGUUACCAUGCCGGCCCCGGCACGAGUGUCAUGUUACCAUGCCGGCCCCGGCACGAGUGUCAUGUUACCAUGCCGGCCCUGGCACGAGUGUCAUGUUACCAUGCCGGCCCCGGCACGAGUGUCAUGUUACCAUGCUUGCUGUGAUUAGAGUGGAGAAUAAACAUGUUAUCUCAGAGCAAUGCAUGUGUUCAAGCAUAUUACAAAUUUGAUCCAGAAUCUGACUCUGAAGAAGCGGAGGUUUCGGUGGAGGUGCAAACAUCUCGGUUGCAGCAGGACGUUUCUGAAUGGUUAGUUGACAAGCUAUUUGUUACGAUGCUUGCUAAUUAUUCCGUUUCCGUUCAUAUUUUGGCUAAUUAGCAAGAAUGCAAUGUGUACAGUUUGUAACAUAGAGUUUGUAACGCAAAAACAGCGGUACAUAUAUAUAUUUACAUAGGGAGACAUUCAUCUUUUCAGCAAUGGCCUCAUUGCGUUUAUUAAUAAUAUACAGUCCUUUUCUUCCAACAUCGUGCAACAACUGUUACCGUUGGAAAGUUCAAUAACUUAGGGUCAUAAAAAGUAUAACUCCAGAUGCUUAAACACCUCAGUUGUCAGCAAUGUGUGUAUUUUCAUAUGUGUUUUUAAAAGCUCAGUUAUUGACUUCUUUCUACAGGUGUACAUGUGCAAAUUACGCUGCAAUGCCAUCUGAACCAGAGAAUGUGUGCUGAAUGGAGAUACUGUACCACAGGUGUCAAGACGGAUGCAGGAACUUGAGCUCUCUGUGCCUUGUAUGGUGGACCAUCCUGGUUUGGAGCCUGUGUGCCUAAAUGUGUUCUCCCUGCAGAAUGCUUUCAAUAUAUACAGAGCUGAACAUGGGAGACUACAGAUGAGGCAAAUACAGCAACAGAGAGCAGGGUCUACGGUCUCCAUGUGGUCUCUGAAGAGUGACGGGUCUAAAGCGGAACCUCCAUACUUCAGUAAUGAACCUGGACCCUCAGACACAAAGUCCCAUGGGGCGGAAGUAGAUGGGCGUGACUUCGCCACUCUAUAGUCAGGUCAAACCAGAUGACUGUGGGGCUAACGGUCCGUGUCGCUACCAGUCCCUGACAUGGCGCGUCAAUCAACGAACGAAGACAUUGAAACUGCGGUGAGAAAUCUCCUCGGCUGCAUCGGGAGAAAUGUGCGGGGUGGUAACCCCGCCGAUUUCGGGCAGUUCUCCUGGAACUAUAGGCCAGUAGAGCCUCAAGCACGGUCAAGUGCUGCUAGUUCGGUUGGGGUCAGCCAGCCCGUUCAUCAGAGAACAGUCCAGCAGGAGAUGCUAAGAUCCUUUCCAGGAAUAUAUUCUGGAAGCAGGACACGGAAUAAAAGAAAGGCACCUGAAGCUCUUAGACCACCAUCAUCCAUAAAGAUGUUAGAGCUUCAGUUCUGCCUGCAUCCUGAAAACAUCGAUAGGACUCCUCGAGAUGAGACCGUUCUGCUGCAGGCAGGUCUAGGAAGGAGAACAGUGAAUCUUGCAGAUGAUGCUGAUCAUGCAGAGAUAACCAGGGUGCUACUUCAAGAAUACCCCAAAUUAAGACGAUUGCGUGGAGGUUGGCUUCUCCAAAAAGCAACAGGAGGCAGUGGUCAAAGAAAGAUAACACCACUCCCACAGGGUUCCCAGGGGUACACAGCCAAAAUGCUGAAGUCCUCCUCAAAUAAUGGGAAAAACAUAAUCCACAUUGUACCACUUCAAGAUACCAUGGACACGACUGCCUUGCCAUAUGACGCACCGGAAUUCGAGAAUAUGCCCAAAAAUGACUGCAUGACCUGUGGCAAAUCAGUUCCUCUUCAGUUGCUGCCUUUGCACAUCAGAACAUGUCAGUGUGAUGAUAUACUGAUGCAGAAGAGGAGAAAUGGCAAGAUCCAGAUGUCAUUUGUAUGGAUUCCUGCCCAAUAUGCGGAGAGCGGUUUGCUGCUGAGGUGAUGUCCCUCCAUGCAAGUUCAUGUGGAGAAAGGUAUUGUCAACCUGUCACUGGAUAUAACUACUAGUUGACACUUAAUAUUUCCCAAUUACAAGUGCUGCUCCAGCAGACCAACUCAACAACUAAGAACCAGCGACAGUAAGGGUCGACUGUCUCACUGACACACUCCGCUGAAGAUUCAACAUGUUUAGUGUAACUACUGCUAACGGUACAAGGUUAGAAAGAAAAAAAACAGGCUGACUGUUAUUCAUGAAGAGUAGGGGUGGGAAUCUCUGGCCACCUCACCAUUAGAUAUUAUUAAAAUUUAGAAGACUGAUACUAAUAAAUACAAAAAAUUCUAAAUGAGUUUUCAUUGAUGGAUUGCCCAACUGCGGAUGAAUCUGAGGAAAGCACUUCAGUACCAGAAGAUUCCACACCUACUUUUACUGGAAGUAACAAUGCCAGCCCACAUCACAUGGUUCUGGCUACUUGGCACCUGGCACAUCUCAAACCAUUCUACCAAGAACAGUACCUUCAAUAGCUGACGCCUGGAAAAGGGUGGAAGUUCCAGAAAGGGCAGCGAUGCUAUACAAAAGGAAUUUGCUUCAGCAAAAAGAAGAUGAACCAAUGCUGAAAAUGUGUUUAGACAUGAAAGAGGACAUUGAGGAUCAGGAAGCAAGAAUUAUCACCUUUUACAAGGUCCACAACGCAGAUUGGGCCAGACCACUCCAAUGCAGAUUGGAAGGUGAUGCAGCUACUGGUGAGGGCGUGAAACGCCAUUUCUUAAGCAUGAUGAUGACCAAGUUGCACAAGGGAUUCAAAGGAAAUUUUGGCA